AUUGAACGCUGGCGGCAGGCCUAACACAUGCCAGUCGAGCGGAUGAAGGGAGCUUGCUCCUGGAUUCAGCGGCGGACGGGUGAGUAAUGCCUAGGAAUCUGCCUGGUAGUGGGGGAUAACGUCCGGAAACGGGCGCUAAUACCGCAUACGUCCUGAGGGAGAAAGUGGGGGAUCUUCGGACCUCACGCUAUCAGAUGAGCCUAGGUCGGAUUAGCUAGUUGGUGGGGUAAAGGCCUACCAAGGCGACGAUCCGUAACUGGUCUGAGAGGAUGAUCAGUCACACUGGAACUGAGACACGGUCCAGACUCCUACGGGAGGCAGCAGUGGGGAAUAUUGAACAAUGGGCGAAAGCCUGAUCCAGCCAUGCCGCGUGUGUGAAGAAGGUCUUCGGAUUGUAAAGCACUUUAAGUUGGGAGGAAGGGCAGUAAGUUAAUACCUUGCUGUUUUGACGUUACCAACAGAAUAAGCACCGGCUAACUUCGUG
rnacentral:rRNA from 1 species